rnacentral:rRNA from 1 species
UGGGGAAUUUUCCGCAAUGGGCGAAAGCCUGACGGAGCAAUACCGCGUGAGGGAGGAAGGCUCUUGGGUUGUAAACCUCAAAACUUAGGGAAGAAGAAAGUGACGGUACCUAAUAUAAGCAUCGGCUAACUCCGUGCCAGCAGCCGCGGUAAUACGGAGGAUGCAAGCGUUAUCCGGAAUCAUUGGGCGUAAAGCGUCCGUAGGUGGCAUUUCAAGUCUGCUGUCAAAGACCGAAGCUCAACUUCGGGUAGGCGGUGGAAACUGAAAAGCUAGAGUAUAGUAGGGGUAGAGGGAAUUCCUAGUGUAGCGGUGAAAUGCGUAGAGAUUAGGAAGAACACCAGUGGCGAAGGCGCUCUACUGGGCAUAUACUGACACUGAGGGACGAAAGCUAGGGUAGCGAAAGGGAUUAGAUACCCCUGUAGUCCUAGCGGUAAACGAUGGAUACUAGGUGUUGUCUGUAUCGACCCAGACAGUGCCGAA